ensembl:snoRNA LOC120102102 small nucleolar RNA U109
CAGCCUGUGCCUUCGGAAGACAAAAGCUCUUCCAUAACAUGCUACAGUGAUGAAGGAGUUCUCAGGGCUACCAACCUUACAGAAGAGGUUGAGUAGUAGUAUAUUUCUCCUACAUUG